rnacentral:rRNA from 1 species
AUGGGACAUACUAUCAGGUACAUCCCACUACUAAAGGAGACGUUCACAUUUUCUCAAAGCUUGGGCAUUUUAGGUGGAAAAACUGGAGCAUCAACUUACAUUGCUGGGGUGCAGGAUGACAGGGCACUCUACCUAGAUCCCCAUGAGGUACAGCUGGCAGUUAACAUAGCAUCUGAUAACUUGGAGGCGGACACUUCCUCAUACCACUGCAGCACAGUCCGUGAUAUGCCUCUAGACGUGAUAGAUCCAUCCCUGGCAAUUGGUUUUUACUGCCGCGACAAAGAUGACUUUGAUGAUUUCUGUGCUCGGGCCUCGGAGUUGGCAGAGCAGGCGAACGGAGCACCGCUCUUCACUGUCGUGUAG